rnacentral:rRNA from 1 species
CCUACGGGUGGCAGCAGUGGGGAAUAUUGCACAAUGGGCGAAAGCCUGAUGCAGCAACGCCGCGUGAGCGAUGAAGGCCUUCGGGUCGGAAAGCUCUGUCCUCAAGGAAGAUAAUGACGGUAAGUGAGGAGGAAGCCCCGGCUAACUACGUGCCAGCAGCCGCGGUAAUACGUAGGGGGCGAGCGUUAUCCGGAAUUACUGGGUGAAAAGGGUGCGUAGGUGGUUUCUUAAGUCAGAGGUGAAAGGCUACGGCUCAACCGUAGUAAGCCUUUGAAACUGGGGAACUUGAGUGCAGGAGAGGAGAGUGGAAUUCCUAGUGUAGCGGUGAAAUGCGUAGAUAUUAGGAGGAACACCAGUUGCGAAGGCGGCCUUCUGGACUGUAACUGACGCUGAGGCACGAAAGCGUGGGGAGCAAACAGGAUUAGAUACCCCAGUAGUC